UACGUAGGGUGCAAGCGUUAAUCGGAAUUACUGGGCGUAAAGCGUGCGCAGGCGGCUUUGCAAGACAGAUGUGAAAUCCCCGGGCUUAACCUGGGAACUGCAUUUGUGACUGCAUGGCUCGAGUACGGUAGAGGGGGAUGGAAUUCCGCGUGUAGCAGUGAAAUGCGUAGAUAUGCGGAGGAACACCGAUGGCGAAGGCAAUCCCCUGGGCCUGCACUGACGCUCAUGCACGAAAGCGUGGGGAGCAAACAGG
rnacentral:rRNA from 1 species